UACGUAGGGGCCGAGCGUUGUCCGGAGUUACUGGGCGUAAAGCGCGCGCAGGCGGCUCGUCAAGCCUGACGUGAAAGCCCCCGGCUCAACCGGGGGAGGGUCGUCGGGGACUGGCGGGCUUGAGGUCGGCAGGGGUUGGUGGAAUUCCCGGUGUAGUGGUGAAAUGCGUAGAGAUCGGGAGGAACACCCGUGGCGAAGGCGGCCAACUGGGCCGGACCUGACGCUGAGGCGCGAAGGCGUGGGGGAGCGAACGGGG
rnacentral:rRNA from 1 species